CCUACGGGGGGCAGCAGUGGGGAAUUUUGGACAAUGGGCGCAAGCCUGAUCCAGCAAUGCCGCGUGCAGGAUGAAGGCCUUCGGGUUGUAAACUGCUUUUGUACGGAACGAAACGGUCUUCUCUAAUACAGGGGGCUAAUGACGGUACCGUAAGAAUAAGCACCGGCUAACUACGUGCCAGCAGCCGCGGUAAUACGUAGGGUGCGAGCGUUAAUCGGAAUUACUGGGCGUAAAGCGUGCGCAGGCGGUAAUGCAAGACAGAUGUGAAAUCCCCGGGCUUAACCUGGGAACUGCAUUUGUGACUGCAUUGCUGGAGUGCGGCAGAGGGGGAUGGAAUUCCGCGUGUAGCAGUGAAAUGCGUAGAUAUGCGGAGGAACACCGAUGGCGAAGGCAAUCCCCUGGGCCUGCACUGACGCUCAUGCACGAAAGCGUGGGGAGC
rnacentral:rRNA from 1 species